UACGAAGGGGGCUAGCGUUGUUCGGAUUUACUGGGCGUAAAGCGCACGUAGGCGGAUCGUUAAGUCGGGGGUGAAAUCCUGGAGCUCAACUUCGGAACUGCCUUUGAUACAGCACGUCUUGAGUCCGAUAGAGGUGGGUGGAAUUCCUAGUGUAGAGGUGAAAUUCGUAGAUAUUAGGAAGAACACCGGUGGCGAAGGCGGCCCACUGGAUCGGUACUGACGCUGAGGUGCGAAAGCGUGGGGAGCAAACAGG
rnacentral:rRNA from 1 species